rnacentral:rRNA from 1 species
UACAGAGGGUGCAAGCGUUGUUCGGAAUUAUUGGGCGUAAAGCGCGUGUAGGCGGCUUUGCAAGUCGGGUGUGAAAGCCCUCAGCUCAACUGAGGAAGUGUGCCAGAAACUGCAGAGCUUGAGUGCCGGAGAGGGUGGCGGAAUUCCCCAAGUAGAGGUGAAAUUCGUAGAGAUGGGGAGGAACACCGGUGGCGAAGGCGGCCACCUGGACGGCAACUGACGCUGAUUCGCGAAAGCGUGGGGAGCAAACAGG